rnacentral:lncRNA from 1 species
GUAAGGCCAGUGGCUACGAGGGACAGUCUUCAUCUUGGGAGAUCCCUAGAGAGGGCAGGGAGCCCCUUGACAUGUGGAAUGUGAUCUCUGUUGGGUGCUGGUGGAUCCCACAGGUGGUCUGGCAUGGAAGAAGGCCAGAGGCUGCGAUGGAUCAUCUUUGUCUUGGGAGAUUCCUGGAGAUGGUGGGGAGCCCCUGGGCACGUGCAGCAUAUGUGGCGUGGGCUUCUUCAGGUGCUGGUGGAUCCCUCAGGAUGAGAGGCGGAGGUAAACCACUGGCGCAGCCCUGCCUCCCACAGAUAAUUCCGGGUGCAGUGUUUCAUAUCUAGACUUGGACUUCUAUCCUACCAUACUUCUUUGUGUGCAGUUCAUUGUGGAACCAGCACAGAUUUUCAUACGAAAGUUAUUUCUUUUUAACCUCAAAAAGUGACAGAAUGGAGUGUAUCAUGAAAAAGUCUGACAUCAAAACCUCAAAAUGUGAUAUUGAUUGGGUGAGAUAGAAUUCCAUGGAAUUUCAUUGCCAAACCAGUGAAGUGCUAAUUUUGACAUUUGUACCAGCUAACGUAGCUGUGAAGAAACACACCAAUACACUUCUAAGGACAGCAUAGACCAAGAUCUAGGUUUCAUAUGGAUGAAUUUAUUCUUCCCUUUGAGGCAAGACAAGAAGGAAAGAAAGUAUUGGGAAUAAUGCUGCCCUCCCAUCCUCAAGGGCCAGUGGGAACUCUAAUAUUGAUUGGGUGAGAUACAAUUCCAUGGAAUUUUACCACUGAACCAGUGGAGGGCUAAUUUUGUCAUUUGUACCAGUUAACUAACUUGGGAGGAAACAGAACAACACACUCCUGAGAUUGGUUUUCACAGAAUUCCAUGGACUUUAACUGCUGAACCAAUGAUGCACUGAUUUUGUCACUUGUACCAGCUAACGCAUCUGGGAGGCAACAAAACAAUACUCUCCUGAGGUUAAUGUGGACCAAAAACUAGAUUUCAUAUAAAAGAGUUUAUUCCUUCUACUUGAGGUGUGACAUGAAGGAAAGUAAUGGAAAUAAUUCUGCCCUCCCAUUCUCAAGGGCCAGGGGGAAUUCAAAUAUUGAACGGAAGUGAUUUUGGAAUUGCAUGGAAUUCUCACUGCCAUCCCAAAGAAAUGCUGAUCUUGUCACUCUUACCUGUUUCAUUCCCUGGGGGCAGAACAAAAGGACGCACUCCAAAGAUCGGCAUGAACCAAGAACUGGGUUUCAUAUAAAAUAUUUUAUUCUGUCCUCUUGAGAUGUGACAUGAGAAAAGUAUUGAGAAUACUUCUAUCACCUCAUCUUCAAGAAUCCGUAGGAAUUCUCCCAUGGUGGACUUUACGGUUAACCUGAACAGGUCUUGGAAAAAGGACUUUAAACAUUCUCCUGUUCUGUGGAAUAAGUAUACUUUUUUCUGGACAUACACCUUGUCAGUUCCAUGUGAUACUAGAGUUGCAUAGAUUUUUAACCUUUACGCCAAUGAAGAUCUGAGGCAAACAUUGCCCCUUUUUUAGAAGUUUGCAUUUGUCACUGAUAACUGUAAUAAUUGAUCUUGUUGAAAAGCCUGGGAAAUGAAGAUCUGAUAUGUCACUUUUACCGGCUUCCUCAACUGAAAAAGAAUACAAUGAAACACGCUGAGAAUUUUUGUGCUUUCUCAGUCUUGCUGAUGAUCUUUCUAUGGGCCUGAAGCGUGGAGAGUGCCAGAGAGGCUGAUCCUCAGCAGUGUGGCAGAGGAAAGUUGGGUGCGACUAAGGGGUAUGCGGUGCCCACAUGCCACUGGGUCCUCAGCAGUACCACCUGAUUGGAAGUGAUAUUGGUGGAAGACAACAUUUUGCCGCUUGGAAUUCUCACCUCCACACCAAAGAAGUACUGUUUUUGUCAUUUGCACCAGCUUCUUUCUCCAGGAAAGAUCAAAACGAUGCACUGCAAGUGUGAUUGGUCCAGAUAGCUGCCUUAUCCAACUGCCUCCUUUGGACCACUUCAUCAUGGGACAGCUUGAUGCAAUCUACUUGACAAGACCCUGGAACCCCACACCCCUCAUGGAACCAGUGUCCACCUCCCAGUCACAGUGUGACCCCAGGGAACUCUUGCCUGCUUGCUUUAAACCCACCACUUAAAAGUCUCCACAGAAAACCUGUUUGAAUAGUACCCUUGACCCAAUAAGGGCAUUGGCCCCUGGGUGUCUCUCUCUCUCUCUCUCUCUCUCUCUCCCUCUCUCUCCCUCUCUCUCUCUCGCUCCCUGACCUCUGCGUGUGGACUCCAGGCAUGCCAUAUACCCCUCAGGACCUGAAGCAAAAGAAUGAAUUAAAGAAAACUCCAGAGAAUGAGCUGACAACCUACUCCCUGGUCAGUGGCUCUCCAUGCCUACCUGUGGUCUCUUGGACACCCUUGCAGAAGAUGACUUCCUGGGAACUCUUCUGGGAGUGAAUGUUAUCAGCAAAUUCCCAAAACAACACCCCUUAGACAAAAAGCCUCCUCACCUAUGCAUUGCCUAGACCACCCACUAAAGGUGAUGGCCACAAAGAGGUGGAUUUGUUGAGUUGGUGCCAUUCCUUCUACUGCCAGCUUCACCAAAACAAUGACACAGUCUUCCUUCCGCAUGGAGACUCUUCUCUUUCCUGUGUUGCAGUGGAUGCCUCCUGCAGAUAAGAAAUGCUUAACUGAGAAAUGCUCAUGUUGGGAUAUCAUCGAUGAGACUUUAAUUUGGGCAUGGUGACUGUUUCCCUUGCUGCCACUUGACUCAAUCCCAGGAGCCUCAGUAGAGGAUAUAAUAUUACACAAGAUGCUCAAAAUGGUGGAAUUGCUCAGUGCUCCCAUAAAUAUACAUUUAUAAUUUUCAUUUGCCACAUGGUAAACUGAAAAAUACAGACUAUAUUAAAAAGAAACUGCAUGAUUUUUUUUCAAAAAUUCAAAGCAUAUUUAAAUAAUAUAUAAAUUAAAUGCCCUCCUCUCUUCCAAUUCUGUCCCUAUAGUUUUCCUCUAUUAAGUGAACUACAUGCAUUCUUUUAGUGGAUAGAUGCACACAAACACACAAGCCAUUAUGGGGAAGGAUCCACGUGUGUGGCCAUAUUGUAACACAUUUUUCUGCAAAUCACCUCUUUCAUUUAACAGCCCUUAUUCAAUGGCCUUUUUCUUUUUCAGUAGUACAUACACAUCUGUGUCAUUUGUUGAAUGACGACAUGAAUGUUUUGUAGAUAAAAUAUAAUUAAAUGUUUUAAGCAUUUCUCACUCAUAGAUAUUUAUGUUAGCACCAAAUUUCUGUGCAAUGAACCUCCCUAUAUAUCAGUAAUUUUGCAUUUGUCUAUAAUAUCAUAAUAAAUUACUUAUCAGUUGAAUUACUGGGAUUAAGUAUGUGCACACUUUAUAUUUAUAUUUUGAAAAUUAUUGCAAGAUUGCCUUCAAAAAUGUGGUUAACAACUUUAUCUUCAAAUGGCAAUGAAUGAGAUUGCCAGCUUUCCUACAGCCUCACAGACAAUGGAUUUUAUAAAUAUUUAACAUUUUUGCCAAUGUGAUCACCCAAACUAUUGUCUUAAAUUGUAUCUCUUUUGUUUUUGAGUUUGGUCAUUUUUUCAUGUUUAUUAGCCAUCUGUAUUUUUUAAUUUCUUCUUUAUGUCCAAUUUUGUGGGUGGGAGGAGGAUUUAGUCUCUUCCUGAUUUCGAAGAGCUCAUUUACUAUUUCGGGAAAUAAGAUUUGGAUUGUCAACCAUUAUAGCUAUUUUUUACACACUUUUCAACUUUGUUUUUGUUAUAAGAAUGUGUAUGAUUGUUACAUGUCCAAGUAUAACCAUGUUCGCUUUUAUGGCUUCUGAGUUUCAUGUCAUUUUUGGAAAGAUAUAUAUAUUGAGUCCAUAAAACCCUUCACCUAUGUUAAAUUCUAAUUCUUUUGUGUUUUUUUAAUUCAAAUUCUUAAAUCAUGAGAAAUUUUUUUGUUUUGAAAUCUUAAAGUUGCCAAGUUACUUGCCAUUACUUGCGAUUAUUUGCCAAUAAUUGCCCAUUUAUCUGUACCGCCAUCUUGCGCAUAUGCUGUACUCUCAUCUGUGACUGGCUCCAUUUUUGUUCUGUGGAUUUGUGUGUCUCUUCUUCUGCCUCCUGUCUCGUGUCUGCUCGUUGGAAGAAAUUACAGUUUAGACUGCAAUUUCAUCAACUUUAAUAAAUCAAUUGAGGGGAGAAUUGGUUUUUAAAAAUAUUAAGUAAGUCUUCGUAUCCAAGGACAAGGUAUGUCUUUUCUUAUUCAAUAAUUUUAAUUACUGUUAAUAUUUUCACUGUGGUGAUGGGAGUUUUUCUUUUAAUUUAUUUUCUUGUUCAUUUUUUGUAUCUAAAGUUUUUGUUUUGUUUUGUUUUGGGGGUAAGUUGUCACCUUACUGUUUCUUGUUGCUUUUCAGAUUUUUUCAAAGUAUAGACUAAAUCCUUCACAAAUAUUUAAAGUUUUUAUUUUCCCCCUUCAUAUUGAUCCUGAUUUUAGUUAUGUUGACAAAGUCCACAGACUGUUACUAUCAGAACACUUGAACAGUUAUGGAAAUAUUACCUACCCUUGAUUUAAUCAGAGUUUAAUGGUAUGCUUCUUUGGUUUGACUGGCACAUUGUCGCUGGUCAUUUCCUCCCAAAGACCACCAGAAAGAGCUAUGAUCAAGCAAAGCUGAGUUUGUUAAACUUACCUGCAGCAAGGGAAAACACCACCUUGAUAGGGUUUAAUAAUGUUUCAAAAUCAAGAAAUGAGGCUUUGGGGUCUGGGCAGGGAACUAAUUAGAAAUGGGCAAAAUUUGUCAUGCAAUACCUUGUGGGAAAGUGAGAUGAGGUUCUUAAUGUGAGUAUUGAUGGUGAAAUCAUUUUCUAGGUGAGCUGUUUGCCUAUAUAAAGAUGUUAUCAAUGACAGAAGAACUAUUUGCCUAGAUAAACAAACUGAAUUUAUUUAUUGGUUUACAGUUUUAUCUUGCUGGGCAGGACUCUGCUGGGGGUGGUAUCAGGUCUUAUUCCCAAUAGGUAAGUUAUUUGGAUAUGGGUGGUCUUAAUCAUCAAUGUGUAAAAUGCUGAUUUUAAGUGCGAAAUACUUUGUCUACCAUGUUAGGAAAGUCUGCCACCUUUUAUCUUUUUUAAGGAAUUUUAAUCAAAACCAGGUGGUAGAUAUAAUCAAAUUGUUUUGCAGAAUCAAUUUUCCUGUUCUCUUUAAAGACUUUUAUCACUGUGAAUUAAUUUACUAUUAUUGCAACUUCCUUUAAUUCCUUGAAUGAACAGACCCUACUGGUUUUAAAAAUGUUUUAUUCUUUUAAUUUACUACUUAAUUGUGGGUAUUUUAAUUUGAUUUGGAAUUUUUACAAGUAUACAACUAAGUGAAAUUGAUCUGUGAUUUUUCUUUUUUGUGCUAUUUUUGUCAUGUUUUGAUAUCAGAUAUUCUGGUUGUGUUAAAAUAAUUUUGAGGAUUUUCUUCUUAUACUGUGUUCUAGAGUGGGUAAAAAAGCCCUAGUCUCACUAUCAGUGUUUAAGUGAACACAUCAGUGACAUCAUCUGGACUCUCCUUUGUUUUUGCUGGUUUGGAGUUAGGACAUCUAGAAGUUUUUUUCUUUUUUUCCUUUUUUUGUAUGGUUAUUGCUUGUUCUUUGUUUUGUGUCAAAUUUAACCUGUUUUCUCUUAGCAAAUCACAGCUCAUGCAGAUUUUCAAACACAUUAGCCUUGUUAUACAAAGUGUUCUUUCAUCAUUCUAUUAAAUUUCCAUUUUCAUUCCAGUUAUAGUUAUUUCUGCUGUGCCUUUGUUAAUGAAUAAGUUUAAACAGUGGAUGUUUAGCAUCACUAGCCUUCCCCUUCCAUCUCCCUUAAUCAGGACCUUGGUAUAAUUUAUCAGGUAUUUUUUAAGGUUCUAAUUUACUUAUAUAUAUUGUUUCUGUAUUCUUUUGUUUCUUUUCUUAAUAAAUUCUUAAA